AUACCUUUCUCGGCCUUUUGACUAAGAUCAAAUAUAGCAUCUGUUCUUAUCAGUUUAAUAUUUGAUAUGUGGGCCAAGUGCCCACAAUGGUAUUAAAUUUAUUUUUAAGGGGAAGGGUCCACUUGUUAUUAGGGCCUUCAAGUGUCGUCCGGGCGUUGCACUACAGCCUAGACCUGGCACACCCCAA
rfam:Triticum aestivum genome assembly, contig: Triticum_aestivum_CS42_TGACv1_scaffold_542838_6DS